AACGAACGCUGGCGGCAGGCUUAACACAUGCAAGUCGAACGCAUCCUUCGGGGUGAGUGGCAGACGGGUGAGUAACGCGUGGGAACGUGCCCUUCAGUUCGGGAUAACCCAGGGAAACUUGGGCUAAUACCGGAUACGUGCGAGAGCAGAAAGAUUUAUCGCUGAAGGAUCGGCCCGCGUCUGAUUAGCUAGUUGGUGGGGUAAUGGCCCACCAAGGCGACGAUCAGUAGCUGGUCUGAGAGGAUGAUCAGCCACAUUGGGACUGAGACACGGCCCAAACUCCUACGGGAGGCAGCAGUGGGGAAUAUUGGACAAUGGGCGCAAGCCUGAUCCAGCCAUGCCGCGUGAGUGAUGAAGGCCUUAGGGUUGUAAACCUCUUUCAGUAGGGACGAAGCGAAAGUGACGGUACCUAAAGAAGAAGCACCGGCUAACUACGUGCCAGCCGCCGCUGUAA
rnacentral:rRNA from 1 species